rnacentral:lncRNA from 1 species
AUUCAGCUGAGACUCUCUUGAGCAAAUUUUCCAAGACUCCUUAAGGGGAAGGACCUGGUCCAAGUUGACUUGGUGUCUCCGUCAUCAAGCACAAUGCCUGGUUCACAAUGGACUCUUCAUGCAUCUCUUUCUACAAGAUGAGAAGGAUCAGAGGGCUGCUGGAGGAAGUAAAGAAGAAAAUAUAAACAGCAGUUAGCAUGAUGCCUGGCACAUGGUGUGCAUUCAGGAUAUAACUGGGGCCUUUGGGAACCAGGCAAUAUUCCAGACACACAUGACAUCAGUAACAUCCAUAUGUCUGUGAUGGGGUAGGAGAGAAGACUACUUUUCAGGAACCCUCCUACCUCCUUGACUCUUCUGUAGCCCCAAACAUCCCCAUGCAAAUAAGCCCAUAAAAGGAGCCCUGAGUCCUUCAACUCAAACAUGUCAUCACUGUACCCGGGUAAAUAAAAAUAAAAACUCAUGCCAUAUAUUGAUUUACUGGUGAUCAUAUUAUAUAUGCAAUUUGUAUGCUGCCUUGUCGCCUACCAUAGUGUGGAUAUUUUCUCAUGUGAUUAAAGACUCUU